rnacentral:rRNA from 1 species
UACGUAGGGUGCAAGCGUUAUCCGGAAUUAUUGGGCGUAAAGAGCUCGUAGGCGGUUUGUCGCGUCUGCUGUGAAAACCCGAGGCUCAACCUCGGGCCUGCAGUGGGUACGGGCAGGCUAGAGUUCGGUAGGGGAGACUGGAAUUCCUGGUGUAGCGGUGAAAUGCGCAGAUAUCAGGAGGAACACCGGUGGCGAAGGCGGGUCUCUGGGCCGAUACUGACGCUGAGGAGCGAAAGCGUGGGGAGCGAACAGG